GAUGAACGCUGGCGGCGUGCCUAAUACAUGCAAGUCGAGCGAACGGACGAGAAGCUUGCUUCUCUGAUGUUAGCGGCGGACGGGUGAGUAACACGUGAGCAACCUACCUUACACAAAGGGAUAGCCACUGGAAACGGUGAUUAAUACCAUAUGAGACCACGAUUCCGCAUGGGAUGGGGGUUAAAGAUUUAUCGGUGUAAGAUGGGCUCGCGUCUGAUUAGCUAGUUGGAAGGGUAAAGGCCUACCAAGGCGACGAUCAGUAGCCGGAUUGAGAGGUUGAACGGCCACACUGGAACUGAGACACGGUCCAG
rnacentral:rRNA from 1 species